UACGGAGGGUGCAAGCGUUAAUCGGAAUUACUGGGCGUAAAGCGCACGCAGGUGGCUGUGUCAGUCGAUUGUGAAAGCCCUGGGCUUAACCUGGGAAUUGCAGUCGAUACUACUCAGCUAGAGUAUGGGAGAGGGUAGUGGAAUUCCCGGUGUAGCGGUGAAAUGCGUAGAUAUCGGGAGGAACAUCAGUGGCGAAGGCGGCUACCUGGCCCAAUACUGACACUCAGGUGCGACAGCGUGGGGAGCAAACAGG
rnacentral:rRNA from 1 species